UACAGAGGGUGCGCGCGUUGUUCGGAAUUAUUGGGCGUAAAGAGCGUGUAGGCGGUUUGGUAGGUCCGCUGUGAAAACUCGAGGCUCAACCUCGAGACGCCGGUGGAAACCAUCAGGCUAGAGUCCGGAAGAGGAGAGUGGAAUUCCUGGUGUAGCGGUGAGAUGCGCAGAUAUCAGGAAGAACACCCGUGGCUAAGGCGGCUCUCUAGUACGGUACUGACGCUGAGACGCGAAAGCGUGGGGAGCGAACAGG
rnacentral:rRNA from 1 species